UUCAAAAGGGUCCAAACCCAUCCAACCUCGACUCUCUAUAAUUUAAUAUCAUAUCCAAAUAAGGCAAUGACCCACCCACUCCAAUUAUCCCAGAUCAAGCCCAGGUCAUAGCCGAAUCGAUCUGGGUUAUAGCCUUUUCGGAGCUAACCCAUAUUUUCUUUCUUAGUGACAACGGGUUCGGUCUCUUUUCAGGGUUACGGCUCGCAAUCCAACCCUACCUCCCCGGACCCUCCGAUCGGACUGUCCCUGAAGCUCCGCAUUGAGCUUCCGCGACAACCUCUUGCAGACCUUUGUAAAUUUCAAGCCUAUGAAAUGGAAUUAUCGAAUGACUUGGCUGGUAAGAAACCAAAGCGGUUGACAUCUGUGGUUUGGAAUCAUUUUGAGAGGAUCAGAAAGGCUGACAGUUGUUAUGCUGUUUGUAUACAUUGUAACAAGAAACUCAGUGGAUCAAGCAAUAGCGGAACAACACAUCUGAGAAACCACCUAAUGCGAUGUCUGAAAAGAUCAUCCACUAUUGAUGUGUCUCAACUACUUGCAGCAAAGAGGAGGAAAAAAGAUACUCCCCUGGCCCUUGCAAAUAUCAGUUUCGAUGAAGGACAGAGAAAAGAUGAUUAUAUUAAGCCAACAAUUUUGAAGUUUGAUCAGGAUCAGAAAAAGGAUGAAAUCAUUAACCUUGGAAGUGGUAAGUUUGAUCAGGAGAGAAGUCGGCUUGAUCUUGCUCGCAUGAUUAUAUUACAUGGUUACCCAUUGGCCAUGGUUGACCACGUUGGAUUCAAAGUAUUUGUCAAGAAUCUUCAGCCGACAUUUGACAUUGUGCCGAACGGUGCUGUUGAGCAAGCUUGUAUGGAAAUUUAUGAGAAAGAGAAACUGAAAAUGUAUGAGGCAGUAAAUCAAUUGCAUGGCAGAAUUAACCUUUGUGUUGAAAUGUGGUCUUCACUUGAAAAUGUUGAGUAUUUGUGUUUGACAGCACAUUAUAUUGAUGAGGAUUGGAAAUUACAGAAGAAGAUUCUGAAUUUUGUCACACUUGAUUCUUCUCAUACUGAAGACAUGCUUUCUGAAGUGAUUAAUAAGUGUCUAAUGGAUUGGGAUGUUGACCAUAAGUUGUUUGCCUUGACAUUUGAUGAUUGUUCCACGGAUGAUGACAUUGUCCUGAGAAUUAAAGAACAGAUCUCUCAUAAAAGGCCUCUUUUGAGUAAUGGUCAGUUAUUUGAUGUGCGAUCUGCUGUACACGUUUUAAAUUUGAUUGUUCAAGAUGCUCUGGAAGCAUUGCGAGAGGUGACCCAAAAGAUUCGAGGAAGUUUCAAAUAUGUUAGAAGUUCACAAGUAACACAAGGAAAGUUUAAUGAGUUUGCCCAACAAGUCGGAAUCAGUGGUAAGAAGAACUUGCUUCUUGAUUGUCCAGUUCGAUGGAACUCAACAUAUAUCAUGCUUGAAACGGCCUUAGAGUACAGGGGUGUGUUUUCUCUUCUGCAAGAGCAUGAUCCUGCCUACACAGUAGCUCUAACUGAUGCAGAGUGGGAAUGGACCAGUUCUGUAACUGGUUAUUUAAAACUUUUUGUUGAAAUCAUAAAUGUCUUUUCUAGCAACAAAUUCCCAACUGCAAAUAUGUAUUUUCCUGAGAUUUGUGAUGUUCACAUCCAAUUAAUAGAAUGGUGCAAGAGUCCAGAUAAUUUUCUUAGUUCCAUGGCAUUGAAGAUGAAAGCUAAGUUUGAUAAAUAUUGGAGCAAGUGCAGUUUGGCUUUGGCAGUAGCAGCCAUCUUAGAUCCUCGAUUCAAAAUGAAGUUAGUGGAGUAUUAUUAUUCUCAGAUUUAUGGUAGUACUGCUUUGGAUCGCAUCAAGGAAGUUUCUGAUGGUAUAAAAGAACUUUUCAAUGCAUACUCUAUCUGCUCAACCAUGGUUGAUCAAGGUUCCGCUUUGCCCGGUAGCAGCUUACCCAGUACAGGUAAUGACACCAGGGAUAGACUAAGGGGCUUUGACAAAUUUCUUCACGAGACUUCUCAAAGUCAAAAUGCAACAUCAGACUUAGACAAAUAUUUAGAGGAACCAGUAUUUCCUCGUAAUUGUGAUUUCAACAUCUUGAAUUGGUGGAAAGUUCAUAUGCCAAGGUACCCUAUUUUGUCCAUGAUGGCUCGUGAUGUUCUUGGGACUCCCAUGUCGACUAUUGCACCGGGGUCUGCAUUUAACACUGGAGGCAGAGUGCUUGAUCAUUGUAGAAGCUCACUGAAUGCAGAUACUCUACAGGCUUUGAUAUGCACACAAGAUUGGUUGCGGAUUGAAUCAAGAGAUUUCAGUCCAUCCUCGAGUUAUAUCCUACCACUUGCCAUUGAAUCAAAUUAAUUUGUCUAGGGUAUAUAUCUUUGUUGGUUCUUUUAUGAUGCAUUCUUCUCAAAAUGUCUAGAUUCUGUGAAGUAUAUAUAUGUGCCAACAGCCAAUCAACUUUAUUUUGGUUUGAUGGUGUUUUUUGUGCAAGGUUGACGGACACAUCGGCUCAUAUGAUAAUGUCUAAUUGUUUUUGACACUCGGGCGGUAUCCUAGAAGCUGCUGUCUUGCUGCUUACUUUACCCCUGUCUAUUCUGCAUGUUCAUAUGUCGCAGCUAAAUUUGUUAUUACAACUUCGAGUUAUGUAUCAAGAGACAAGAAGCAGUGUACAUUUUAGAAGACUUAGAUUCUGACAAUUAUGCUAAACUAGAGGGACCCUCUCUCUCUCUCUCUCUCUCUCUCUCUCCAAGGAAAUCUGAUCCACUUUCUUUUAAUAAAUAUUUCAGUUUUAUUGUUUUCUUUA